UACGUAGGUGGCGAGCGUUAUCCGGAAUUAUUGGGCGUAAAGAGCGCGCAGGUGGUUGAUUAAGUCUGAUGUGAAAGCCCACGGCUUAACCGUGGAGGGUCAUUGGAAACUGGGUCACUUGAAUAUAGAAGAGGAAAGUGGAAUUCCAUGUGUAGCGGUGAAAUGCGUAGAUAUAUGGAGGAACACCAGUGGCGAAGGCGACUUUCUGGUCUAUUAUUGACGCUGAGGCUCGAAAGCAUGGGUAGCAAACAGGAUUAGAUA
rnacentral:rRNA from 1 species